UAGAAUUCCAGGUGAAGCGGUGAAAUGCGUAGAGAUCUGGAGGGAAUAACCGGUGGCGGAAGGGCGGCCCCCUGGACGAAAGACUGAACGCUCAAGGUGCGGAAAAGCGUGGGGGAGCAAACCAGGAUUUAGAUACCCCUGGUAGUUCCCGCCCUUAAACGAUGUCGACCUUGGAGGUUGUGCCCCUUGAGGCGUGGCUUCCGGAGCUAACGCGUUAAAGUCGACCGCCUGGGGAGUACGGCCGCAAAGGUUAAAACUCAAAUGAAUUGACGGGGGCCCGCACAAGCGGUGGAGCAUGUGGUUUAAUUUCGAUGCAACGCGAAGAACCUUACCUGGCCCCUGACAUCCAGAGAACUUAGCAGAGAUGCUUUGGUGCCUUCGGGAAAUCUGAGACAGGUGCUGCAUGGCUGUCGUCAGCUCGUGUUGUGAAAUGUUGGGUUAAGUCCCGCAACGAGCGCAACCCUUAUCCUUUGUUGCCAGCGAUUCGGUCGGGAACUCAAAGGAGACUGCCGGUGAUAAACCGGAGGAAGGUGGGGAUGACGUCAAGUCAUCAUGGCCCUUACGGCCAGGGCUACACACGUGCUACAAUGGCGCAUACAAAGAGAAGCGACCUCGCGAGAGCAAGCGGACCUCAUAAAGUGCGUCGUAGUCCGGAUUGGAGUCUGCAACUCGACUCCAUGAAGUCGGAAUCGCUUGUAAUCGUAGAUCAGAAUGCUACGGUGAAUACGUUCCCGGGCCUUGUUCACCCGCCCGUCACACCAUGGGAGUGGUUGC
rnacentral:rRNA from 1 species